GAUAUCCUUUUUUUACGACCUGUUGA
rnacentral:piRNA from 1 species